UACGAAGGGUGCAAACGUUGCUCGGAAUCAUUGGGCGUAAAGCGCACGUAGGCGGCCUGUUAAGUCGGAUGUGAAAUCCCUCGGCUCAACCGAGGACGUGCAUUCGAAACUGGCAGGCUCGAGUAUGGAAGAGGGUCGCGGAAUUCCCGGUGUAGAGGUGAAAUUCGUAGAUAUCGGGAGGAACACCAGUGGCGAAGGCGGCGACCUGGGCCAAUACUGACGCUGAGGUGCGAAAGCGUGGGUAGCAAACAGG
rnacentral:rRNA from 1 species